rnacentral:rRNA from 1 species
GACGAACGCUGGCGGCGUGCUUAACACAUGCAAGUCGAACGGAAAGGCCCUGCUUUUGUGGGGUGCUCGAGUGGCGAACGGGUGAGUAACACGUGAGUAACCUGCCCUUGACUUUGGGAUAACUUCAGGAAACUGGGGCUAAUACCGGAUAGGAGCUCCUGCUGCAUGGUGGGGGUUGGAAAGUUUCGGCGGUUGGGGAUGGACUCGCGGCUUAUCAGCUUGUUGGUGGGGUAGUGGCUUACCAAGGCUUUGACGGGUAGCCGGCCUGAGAGGGUGACCGGCCACAUUGGGACUGAGAGACGGCCCAGACUCCUACGGGAGGCAGCAGUGGGGAAUAUUGCACAAUGGGCGGAAGCCCGAUGCAGCAACGCCGCGUGCGGGAUGACGGCCUUCGGGUUGUAAACCGCUUUCGCCUGCGACGAAGCGUGAGUGACGGUAAUGGGUAAAGAAGCACCGGCUAACUACGUG